AUCCCAUGAUGAGGAUAGGCGGUGACGUACUCCUGUAGACGCUCCCAAGCUUCUUGUAUGGAUUCGUCCUUCAUUUGCUGGAAAUUGCAAAUUCUCCCACGAAGAGC
rnacentral:snoRNA from 1 species